CAGACGCAGCGACCUGUCAGGGCCCAGGAGCAGUCGUGCAUGUCUGCUCCCAGCAGCCCCUGACAUGUCCGGUGCAGUGAAGAAAACUUUGCCUGUCCCUGCACAGAUUUUUAAAGAGCCCGCACUGGGGUUGAAGGUAAUGUGUGGUCUAUGCACAAUGGAAGCAGCGGCUGGGCGAACAAUCCAGCGAUUAUUUGUGUGGCCUUCCCUGAGCGAAGCUUGAGAAUUAUCAUAUGGUUUUGCCAUACACCUUAUGGAACAAUGUAGCUUUCAAACAAAGAACAAAGAAAACAAAAAACAAGCCCUCAAAUGGCUCUGUAGAUGAAAAAAUAAAAGAGUUAUGGUUUUUAGAAACUGAAGAGGAAAAAACAAAACAAAAAAAAAUCUGUAUUUAUCUAAAGAAAAGAUAAAAGCAUUAAACUAUUCAAGGGUGGACCUUCAUUUUAGGACCACAACAUAAUAUCUGCAUUAUAUAAUCCCACUCAGAAUGCACAAAAUGUUAGGAUGCGC